rnacentral:rRNA from 1 species
AUUGAACGCUGGCGGCAGGCCUAACACAUGCAAGUCGAGCGGAUGAAGGGAGCUUGCUCCUGGAUUCAGCGGCGGACGGGUGAGUAAUGCCUAGGAAUCUGCCUGGUAGUGGGGGAUAACGUCCGGAAACGGGCGCUAAUACCGCAUACGUCCUGAGGGAGAAAGUGGGGGAUCUUCGGAUCUCACGCUAUCAGAUGAGCCUAGGUCGGAUUAGCUAGUUGGUGGGGUAAAGGCCUACCAAGGCGACGAUCCGUAACUGGUCUGAGAGGAUGAUCAGUCACACUGGAACUGAGACACGGUCCAGACUCCUACGGGAGGCAGCAGUGGGGAAUAUUGGACAAUGGGCGAAAGCCUGAUCCAGCCAUGCCGCGUGUGUGAAGAAGGUCUUCGGAUUGUAAAGCACUUUAAGUUGGGAGGAAGGGCAGUAAGUUAAUACCUUGCUGUUUUGACGUUACCAACAGAAUAAGCACCGGCUAACUUCGU